UACGGAGGGUUCAAGCGUUAUCCGGAUUCAUUGGGUUUAAAGGGUACGUAGGCGGAUUAAUAAGUCAGUGGUGAAAUCCCGAAGCUCAACUUCGGAACUGCCAUUGAAACUGUUGAUCUUGAAUUUGGUUGAAGUGGGCGGAAUAUGACAUGUAGCGGUGAAAUGCAUAGAUAUGUCAUGGAACACCGAUAGUGAAGACAGCUCACUAAACCAAUAUUGACGCUGAGGUACGAAAGCAUGGGUAGCGAACAGG
rnacentral:rRNA from 1 species